CUUCUCGGUUCGGUCCGCUGCCGCUGUGAGGGCCGAGCGGAAACCCGUAGAGCUUUUAUGUGAAGAGAUUGCGGCCUCCUGGUCACCAGUCACCGAGAGAGGGACCCCUGGACCGCCUAGGUGGUGUUUGCCGCAGGCCAUAGGGAUCCAGCCCCCUCCGGCAGUCCCAUGGGGACGCGGCCUUCCCACCCGGGCGGAAAGGCGCUUCCCGCCCGCCCUGCGGUAAUCCCGGAAGCCGUGAUCUGUUAAUCUAAAAUUUCUGUUGCUUUGGCUACUGAUGGAAACCUGUUAGAUAGGUCCUAUGUUGCUCCAAGCUAGUCUUGAACUCCCAGCCUCACAGAAUUCUCCCACCUCAGCCUCCCAGUGUGUUGGGAUUACAGGUCUGAAGAUCAGACAAAGUUUGGCUGAUCUUGGCUACGUUUGUCUAUGUUUGGCUGGGCUAGGCUGGACUCCAAUCUUCAGGUCAAGUUUACGUCUGCUUCACAUGUCUUCAUCAUUCUAGAACCAGUUGCCUGCCUGAGAGACGUUCUUCCCACAGUGGGUGACAGAAGUAUAAGAGAGAGUUGGGGUCUCACUCUGUUACCCAGGCUGGAGUGCAGUGGUGUGAUCAUAGCUCACUGCAGCCUUGACCUCCUAGGCUCAAGCAGUCCUCCCACCUUGGCCUCCUGAGUAGCUGAGACUACAGCUGGAAACCAUCAUUCUCAGCAAACUAUCGCAAGAACAGAAAACCAAACACCGCGUGUUCUCACUCAUAGGUGGGAACUGAACGAUGAGAUCAUUUGGACUCGGGAAGGGAAACAUCACACACCGGGGCCUAUUAUGGGGAGGGGGAGAGGGGAGGGAUAGCAUUGGGAGUUAUACGUGAUAUAAAUGACCAGUUGAUGGGUGCAGCACACCAACAUGGCACAAGUAUACAUAUGUAACAAACCUGCACGUUAUGCACAUGUACCCUAGAACUUAAAGUAUAAUUUAAAAAAAAAAAGAGUUGACUGCUUAAAUGAAUCGAUAAGGAGAAACAAGUAAUAAUUCAAUAUUUUUCAAAUAUUUGUGAUAAUUUGGCAUAUAUUAGUCAAAUAUUUAUCAAAAUACAUUAGAAGGAUGAUAGAUUAGAUGCUACAAUAGGCAACAUCUAGAAAUAAUGAAGCAAUAUAGCAUGAAUGUAUCAAUAAUAGCACUCUUCAGUGACCUUGUGUCAUCAGAACAUCUUAGAGUUAUACAGGAAUGAAUAGAAAUUAAUGAAUAGAAUGAAUAGACAUUAAGAGAGAUUGGGAGUCUUCAAUAUUUUCAUAUUAACACUUACAUAUAUUGUGAAACAGGAACUGUGGUAGGUGGUGCAUUCUAUAUCUUAACUCAUGUAUAACCAAUUUUAGUCAUAUGCAAAACCCUAUAAAUGCAGGCCCUAUUUUUUUCCACCUUCCCAUAACUGAGGAAUAAAACAUUAGAAGAAA
rnacentral:lncRNA from 1 species